AGCCUUAGAGACCGAAGCAUAUUUGUAGGGCGUCGUUGCUGCGUGCUUUGGCCACGGAGACCUCACAGGCGACCAACGCCCAAGGAAGGAGAAAUUCGUGCCUGCAUCGCGUCGUGUCGGCGCCUCAACCGCGGAGGCAUCCCAGACGAAGUCGGGGAUGACGACGAGCGGCUGUGCAUGAGGGCUCAACGGCAGCGUCGUACACUAGACAAGAGACGACGGGAUGGACCGCGUCGGACGUCAUGUGUAGAAGCUCGUCGAUGGCGUCAUACACGAGGCUGGAGACGACGGGGUGGACUGUGCCGGUUGCCGUGUGUAGGAGCUCAACGGUGGCAACAUAGAUGAGGCAGAGUGGUGAGAAGGCGAGAAAUAUGGUGGGCGUCUUACCCUUUGUUGGGUAUUUCAGCUGCGCGAAUAAGGUAGACUUAGGUUUAGUUAAGUUCAGUUAGAUCAGUAGUUUCGGCAGCCUCUCCUUCAGAGAGUUGAAGUCGCCCCUUUUUCCCUUCGUCAAAGCUUUCUUUUCUCGUUUUAGUUAGUGCACGAGGGCACGAUCGUUGUGUGCUCCGUGCGAAUAGGCAAGCAGCACGACUCAGCCCGUGGGAUGGCGCGGGCACGACGGGGUUGUUGCGCGCUAUGCGGCACUACGUGUGCAUCACUGAAUAAAAGGAGAAACAAACCGAAAAGCAGUAACUGUUACA
rnacentral:lncRNA from 1 species